UUAGCCAACGCGUCUGCCUGCGUGUUCAUUGCUCGAGGAACCAAUUUUAUUUCGAAAUACUCCAGAUUAGAUGUAACACUCUUGAGUUUUGCCAGAUAUGCCGUCAUGCUCGGCUCUCGAGUUUCGUAAGUGCCAGUAAACUGAUUUGCCACCAGUUGCGAGUCAGUUGUCAUCUCAAUACGCUUUGCUUCCGCAGAUAUGCAUAGCUGUAUUCCUGCCAAGGCUGCUUCAUACUCUUUCUCAUUAUUCGAGGCUUUGAAUUUGAACUUGACAGCAUACUCGAACACAUCUCCUUGGGGAGAGAUCAUAAUUACUCUAGCCCCUGAGCCGGUUGAAGCAGAUGAGUCGUCAACUGAUACCUUCCAUGUGUCGGUACCCUCCUCUUCUUCAUAAUAAGAUGUUUCUACAAUGAAGUCAGACAAGGCUUGGGAUUUGAUUGAUACCCUUGGUUUAUACGUAAUAACGUAUUCAGACAAUUCAAUCGCCGGGUCUAGACUUGGAACUGGUCCCACCGGUUCCGAGUCCGGGUCCAAAAAUUAAGAACCGGUUGUAACCGGUUUCGGUUCCAAUUUUUGAAAAAUUGGACCUGGUACCCGGUGGGUACCCGGAACGAGUUCUUCAAGUCAUCUAAAAUUUUGGAAUUCAGUAAACAAAAUAAAUAUUGGGCCUUUUUUGUUAUUACCAGCCCACUUACUCACAACCCAUUCAUCUUAUAAGGAGUACUUAUUAUUAAAACCCUAAAAUUACUCUUCACCGCCCACCAAAUGCACCAUCUUCACAAAUUUCACCAGCCAAUAUCACCUAAUAAUUCAUCAACCACCCUUUUCCAUAUUCUUAGAUCUAUAUCAAAUUCUUAUUUUUUUUAUUUUUUGUUUUUUUUUUGACGAAAAACAUAUUAUGAACCUGUUCUCUCUUACAAAUUCUCAUUCAUGGCAUAUGAAGAAGUCGGAACCACCACCACAUCAACGAAGAACACGUCAAUGUUAAGAGAAUGAGAGAAGAGGUUUCAUUGGUUCCUCAUGGUGAUUUGUCUAGCUAAUAACACAAUCUUUCACCUUGAUUCAGCUCGAUCAACAAAGAAGUGCCUCGUGAUGUCUGUACUACAAAAUAUUAUGAAGAAGAUACAUGGUCGUGCUCCACGGGGUCCUACAUGGAAAUCACCUAUGUGCCCACAACAAGAUAAUGAAGUUGAUUGUGGAUUAUACGUGAUGAGAUUCAUGCUUGACAUAGCGACUCAUUGUACCAAUACCAUACAUCUUGGUGAGGUACGGCCUUAAACUUAGAAAAAUGCUCUUUUAACGUGAUUUCAAGGCUUAGCAACCUAUAACUAAGUAUAAUUGACAUGUAAUGAGAAAAAACAUGGUCAUUAGUUAAAAAAUGUAGAAAAUGGGCAAGUAGAAGUCAUUUAGGCCUUAAUUAGGCUAUUUAGGAAGAAAAUGCGACCUUAAACUUAGAAAAAUGCUCUUUUUACGUGAUUUCAAGGCUUAGCCAUAUGUUAUGAGAACG